rnacentral:rRNA from 1 species
CCUACGGGUGGCAGCAGUAGGGAAUAUUGCUCAAUGGGGGAAACCCUGAAGCAGCAACGCCGCGUGGAGGCUGAAGGUUUUAGGAUUGUAAACUUCUUUUUUUAGAGAAGUUUAUGACGGUUUCUAACGAAUAAGCACUGGCUAACUUCGUCCCAGCAACCGCGGUAAUCCGGAGGGUGAAAGCGUUACUCGGAAACACUGGGGGUAAUGAGUGAGUAGGCGGGGUAUUAAGUCAGAUGUGAAAGCCUGUAGCUUAACUACGGAACUGCAGUUGAAACUGUUACACUGGAGUGUUGGAGUGGUAGGUGGAAUUCUUGGUGUAGGGGUAAAAUCCGUAGAGAUCAAGAGGAAUACUCAUUGCGAAGGCGAGCUGCUGGAACAGUACUGACGCUGAUGCACGAAAGCGUGGGGAGCAAACAGGAUUAGAUACCCCUGUAGUC